AGGUCAUUACCAAGGCUUAUAGAAUGCAGUUUCUCAUUUGCUGUGGACAUGACCAUAAAGAAAUUUCCCACCAGGCUUUCUCUCUGCUACCUUGCUAGCAAUCAGCCUACUGGGAACAUUU
ensembl:snoRNA SNORA32 small nucleolar RNA, H/ACA box 32